CUACGGGGCGCAGCAGUGGGGAAUAUUGCACAAUGGGCGCAAGCCUGAUGCAGCCAUGCCGCGUGUAUGAAGAAGGCCUUCGGGUUGUAAAGUACUUUCAGCGGGGAGGAAGGGAGUAAAGUUAAUACCUUUGCUCAUUGACGUUACCCGCAGAAGAGGCACCGGCUAACUCCGUGCCAGCAGCCGCGGUAAUACGGAGGGUGCAAGCGUUAAUCGGAAUUACUGGGCGUAAAGCGCACGCAGGCGGGUUGUUAAGUCAGAUGUGAAAUCCCCGGGCUCAACCUGGGAACUGCAUCUGAUACUGGCAAGCUUGAGUCUCGUAGAGGGGGGUAGAAUUCCAGGUGUAGCGGUGAAAUGCGUAGAGAUCUGGAGGAAUACCGGUGGCGAAGGCGGCCCCCUGGACGAAGACUGACGCUCAGGUGCGAAAGCGUGGGGAGCAAACAGGAUUAGAUACCCCGGUAGUC
rnacentral:rRNA from 1 species